AUUGAACGCUGGCGGCAGGCCUAACACAUGCAAGUCGAGCGGAGCGGCGGACGGGCGAGUAAUGCCUAGGAAUCUGCCUGGUAGUGGGGGAUAACGUCCGGAAACGGGCGCUAAUACCGCAUAGUAUCAGAUGAGCCUAGGUCGGAUUGGCUAGUUGGUGGGGUAAAGGCCUACCAGGGGGACGAUCCGUAACUGGUCUGAGCGGAUGAUCAGUCAAACGGGAACGGAGACACGGUCCAAAUCCCUACGGGAGGCAGCAGUGGGGAAUAUGGGACAAUGGGCGAAAGCCUGAUCCAGCCAUGCCGGUUGUGUGAAGAAGGUCGUGGGAUUGUAAAGCACGUUAAGUUGGGAGGCGUUACCAACAGAGUAAGCACCGGCUAACUUCGUGCCAGCAGCCGCGGUAAUUC
rnacentral:rRNA from 1 species